rnacentral:rRNA from 1 species
CGCACGAGAAAUCCUGGGCAACCGGGAGAGUAAAGUGGCGCACGGGUGAGUAACGCGUGGGUAACCUACCCUCCAAUUGAGGAUAACUCUUCGAAAGGAAAGUUAAUACUCAAUAAUAUUUCGAUCUCUGAGGGGAUUGGAAUCAAAGGUGGCCUCUGCAUGCAAGCUACCGUUGAAGGAUGGGCCCGCGUACCAUUAGCUAGUUGGUAGGGUAAUGGCCUACCAAGGCGACGAUGGUUAGCUGGUCUGAGAGGAUGGCCAGCCACACUGGAACUGAGACACGGUCCAGACUCCUACGGGAGGCAGCAGUGGGGAAUAUUGCGCAAUGGGGGAAACCCUGACGCAGCGACGCCGCGUGGGUGAUGAAGGCCUUCGGGUCGUAAAGCCCUGUCAGGUGGGAAGAAACGCAUUGAUGAUAAUACCAUCAAUGUUUGACGGUACUACCGGAGGAAGCACCGGCUAACUCCGUGCCAGCAGCCGCGGUAAUACGGAGGGUGCAAGCGUUGUUCGGAAUUACUGGGCGUAAAGAGCGUGUAGGCGGUUGGGCAAGUCAGAUGUGAAAGUCUUCCGCUCAACGGGAGAAGGGCAUUUGAAACUACCUGGCUAGAGUACGGGAGAGGAGAGCGGAAUUCCCGGUGUAGAGGUGAAAUUCGUAGAUAUCGGGAGGAACACCAGUGGCGAAGGCGGUUCUCUGGUCCGAUACUGACGCUGAGACGCGAAAGCGUGGGGAGCAAACAGGAUUAGAUACCCUGGUAGUCCACGCCGUAAACGAUGGGCACUAGGUGUAGGAGGUAUUGACCCCUUCUGUGCCGAAGCUAACGCAUUAAGUGCCCCGCCUGGGGAGUACGGCCGCAAGGCUAAAACUUAAAUGAAUUGACGG